ACGAGAAGCCACUGAAAACUAGGGCG
rnacentral:piRNA from 1 species